GUCAGGAAACAUUAUGAUAAAUGGCUUUAGUAGAGGCUUUGGAGGUGGGUGUGGUAAUGAGCUUCUGUUUCCUCUCCUGAUUAGCUCUUUGCUUCUGUGGAAGAAAACACCAGUAGGACUCACAGUAAGUGUGAUAUAUAAUCGAAGCAUCCUAGCCUGUCUAGUGAAAACGCUUCUACUCUUUGCCUGAGAAAAAGAAAUCGCCUAGCUGGCAGUUGUCUCUUCACAACACACGCAGCUGAGCACUUACUUGCUGUAGCCAAGUAGGUGCUGGUGAACACACACAUUAUCUAUUUUAGAUCACAAAGUGUGAUCUGAGAGAAAAGACGGACUGAAUUCUGCUCAGUGACAAAACCCAUCACCUCUCUGAUUCUCAAACUGCUGUUGAAAAACUGAGGACAAUCCACUUUUAAAAAUUAAAGAAUGUGAAUGCACUUGGGCACUUUGGGGGUGGUUUUGAUUAGUGUAUGUAAUUUUAUUCAUAUUUUUUCAGUGAUAUGAACGGUUCUUUAAAAAGGAUCAGGGAUUACCCUCUGAAUUUUACUGAACUAAAUCAAUUGAGGUUUCAUUUGCAGGGACCUCAGUAAGGCAGGGAUUCCACGCUUGGCCACAGAAUUUUCUCAUUAUAUAUUAAUUUAUGAUAUGUAGAAUUGGAUAUUAAAAUCCCCUAUAAAGAAACAGCCUGCUAAUAAACAGUACAGCUCUGGGUAAACUAAGCUGAGUGCUUGCAUUCUGGGAAUUUUUGCAAAAUGUUUAUCUUCAGAAACAGCUUUUAAAAAAUGCCCAAGGCUAUCAACUGUGCUGGGCUUAGAAUAAGGAGAGGGAUACAGAUACAUGCAAACUGACUUCAGUUCUCUAAACAGGAGAAGGACAAAAAAAACACAUUGAAACUUUGAUCUCCACAACAGUGCAACAAGCUUCCUUUCUGUAUUGUGUGAGAAUUUAUAAACUGACGAAGGGAAGCUGAUGCAAUUCUCUGAGCAAUGAGUAUCAAGAUAAGAGUUUUGGCUGCUGUAUCAUCUGCUGGGCUGCUUACCUUCCCCUUUUUUUGCAGCACAACUGUUAAAUUACGCCAGCAGUGAGUCCUUGAAACAGUUGAUUUUGUGAAAGCUUGUGGAAAACAUAGACUACAAAAUUUCCAAGUGUUUAUAAGAUGCGUCAGAGAAAAAGAAUCCAGUUACUGAAAUGUGCAGUCCCAAACCAGAAGCAAUAAAUGAAGGAAACAGCUUGAAGAAUCUUGCAAAAGAUGAGCUCACAUACCUCAGCGCAGGAGUAUUGCUGGUAUUGUUGCAUAUCUGCUUCAAUUAAAUUGGUUUCUUCUCUGAUUAAACCUGUUCAACUAGUCUUUUUUUUAAAAAAAAAUACAGUAAUUAAAUGCUAAUGAAGUCUUUGAACUUCAACAGCUAUAUUUUUUACUAACAUGUUAAAAUAUGUAAGCAUACUUAAUUUUUCCACUGUGUUUUCUCAAGAUGGAAGCUUUAAGCAGGUGUCGGCAAGAAAGAAACAAAAAAAUAGAAGAGUCAUUCAGAUGUGACCACCAAAACUGUAAAUCCUGCAUGUGACAUUUGGGAUGAGUUCACAUUACUCUUCUAGUAUCUGCUAUGGAAACUGCCCAAUAGAGCUGGACAAAAGAAAAGAUUUCUAAACUCCAAACUAGCAUACAUGUCUCCAGUUAUGCAC